rnacentral:rRNA from 1 species
GAUGAACGCUGGCGGCGUGCUUAACACAUGCAAGUCGAACGAAGCAUUUGCGACAGAUUUUUUCGGAAUGAAGUUGCUUAUGACUGAGUGGCGGACGGGUGAGUAACGCGUGGGUAACCUGCCUUGUACUGGGGGAUAGCAGCUGGAAACGGCUGGUAAUACCGCAUAGGCGCACAAUGUUGCAUGACAUGGUGUGAAAAACUCCGGUGGUAUAAGAUGGACCCGCGUCUGAUUAGCUAGUUGGUGAGAUAACAGCCCACCAAGGCGACGAUCAGUAGCCGACCUGAGAGGGUGACCGGCCACAUUGGGACUGAGACACGGCCCAGACUCCUACGGGAGGCAGCAGUGGGGAAUAUUGCACAAUGGAGGAAACUCUGAUGCAGCGACGCCGCGUGAGUGAAGAAGUAAUUCGUUAUGUAAAGCUCUAUCAGCAGGGAAGAUAGUGACGGUACCUGACUAAGAAGCUCCGGCUAAAUACGUG